rnacentral:rRNA from 1 species
UACGUAGGGUGCGAGCGUUAAUCGGAAUUACUGGGCGUAAAGCGCACGUAGGCGGCUUUUUAAGUCAGGGGUGAAAUCCCGGGGCUCAACCCCGGAACUGCCCUUGAAACUGGAGAGCUAGAAUCUUGGAGAGGCGAGUGGAAUUCCGAGUGUAGAGGUGAAAUUCGUAGAUAUUCGGAAGAACACCAGUGGCGAAGGCGACUCGCUGGACAAGUAUUGACGCUGAGGUGCGAAAGCGUGGGGAGCAAACAGG